GAUGAACGCUGACAGAAUGCUUAACACAUGCAAGUCAACUUGAACUUCGGUUUGGGUGGCGGACGGGUGAGUAACGCGUAAAGAACUUGCCUCACAGAUAGGGACAACAUUUGGAAACGAAUGCUAAUACCUGAUAUUAUGAUUUUAGGGCAUCCUAGGAUUAUGAAAGCUAUAUGCGCUGUGAGAGAGCUUUGCGUCCCAUUAGCUAGUUGGAGAGGUAACGGCUCACCAAGGCGAUGAUGGGUAGCCGGCCUGAGAGGGUGAUCGGCCACAAGGGGACUGAGACACGGCCCUUACUCCUACGGGAGGCAGCAGUGGGGAAUACUGGACAAUGGACCAAGAGUCUGAUCCAGCAAUUCUGUGUGCACGAUGAAGUUUUUCGGAAUGUAAAGUGCUUUCAGUUGGGAAGAAAAAAAUGACGGUACCAACAGAAGAAGUGACGGCUAAAUACGUGCCAGCAGCCGCGGUAAUACGUAUGUCACAAGCGUUAUCCGGAUUUAUUGGGCGUAAAGCGCGUCUAGGUGGUUAUAUAAGUCUGAUGUGAAAAUGCAGGGCUCAACUCUGUAUUGCGUUGGAAACUGUGUAACUAGAGUACUGGAGAGGUAAGCGGAACUACAAGUGUAGAGGUGAAAUUCGUAGAUAUUUGUAGGAAUGCCGAUGGGGAAGCCAGCUUACUGGACAGAUACUGACGCUGAAGCGCGAAAGCGUGGGUAACAAACAGG
rnacentral:rRNA from 1 species